GUCAAGAACCCGCCACUUAAACUCCGAAGAGUUUUGAAGUGGGGGCUUGUGGAAAACAACAAACCUGCUUGACUGCCCUAAGUGCUUCGGGCACUGCGUUACCCGGGAAUAGAUAGGCGCCGGCGGACGCGCAUCCGAAUCUGCCGCUCUGCGGUGUGUGGUUAAACGACUCUGAAGGUAAGGAGCGGUGCCGCGCAUACAAAACCCUGGGAUAACAUUGGGGGCGGAUACCUGA
ncrna:unclassified sequences HNH endonuclease-associated RNA and ORF (HEARO) RNA